UGGGGAAUUUUGCGCAAUGGGGGAAACCCUGACGCAGCAACGCCGCGUGAAGGAAGAAGGCUUUCGAGUUGUAAACUUCUGUUUCGGGGGACGAUAAUGACGGUACCCCGGCAGCAAGCCCCGGCUAACUCCGUGCCAGCAGCCGCGGUAAUACGGGGGGGGCAAGCGUUGUUCGGAAUUACUGGGCGUAAAGGGCGCGUAGGCGGUCCGAGAAGUUUCGGGUGAAAGCCCCGGGCUCAACCCGGGAAGGUCCCGGAAAACCAUCGGACUUGAGUGCUGGAGAGGCAAGCGGAAUUUCUGGUGUAGCGGUGAAAUGCGUAGAUAUCAGAAGGAACAUCGGAGGCGAAGGCGGCUUGCUGGACAGUAACUGACGCUGAGGCGCGAAAGCCAGGGGAGCGAACGGG
rnacentral:rRNA from 1 species